UACGUAGGGUGCGAGCGUUAAUCGGAAUUACUGGGCGUAAAGCGUGCGCAGGCGGUUUUGUAAGCCAGAUGUGAAAUCCCCGGGCUUAACCUGGGAAUGGCAUUUGGGACUGCAAGGCUGGAGUGUGGCAGAGGAGACUGGAAUUCCUGGUGUAGCAGUGAAAUGCGUAGAUAUCUGGAGGAACACCGGUGGCGAAGGCGGCAUCCUGGACCGGCAUUGACGCUGAGGCGCGAAAGCCAGGGGAGCAAACGGG
rnacentral:rRNA from 1 species